rnacentral:sRNA from 1 species
CCCAAUACAGAUAUCUCAACCUGUGCUGUGAUAGUGGCUCUGAAGUCUUUUGGUGGUAAAACUACAAAAGAAAUCAGCAAUUUCACUCAGCUAUCUAUUCAAACCAUCAAUUGUAUCUAUAGAACUGCUCAAGAUUGUGGCUUUAAUCCAGAUCUUCCCUAUCUUUAUAUCUGUGAUGACUGAUUAAAAGAUGCUCCUCGCUCUGGACGACCCACAAAACAGCAGUCAGCCCAAGAACAUAUCCUCGCCAAGGUACACCAUGAUUGAUAUGGGAGAGAGAAAUCCUGUGCUGAUAUAGCAGGUGAACUCAGUCAGAAGGGAAUUGAUAUAUCUCCACCGUAGAUGAAAGCAGAAGAAAUAAUGAGAGGGAAUUUAUAUGUAAAACCUAGUAUAAAUUACUAGUGGCAGUUGUGGCGUUUUUAGUGCUUGAACGAAACUUUUGAAACCGACCUCCGUAGUGCAUACAUCUUCAUUACAGGCAAAAUAAGCAUGUCCAUCAAGAGAUCUAUGUUGCUGAUAGCUAACUAGUACUAAAUAUGACCAGA